UACGAAGGGGGCUAGCGUUGCUCGGAAUUACUGGGCGUAAAGGGCGCGUAGGCGGAUGUUUAAGUCAGCGGUGAAAGCCCAGGGCUCAACCUUGGAACUGCCAUUGAUACUGGACAUCUUGAGUACGGGAGAAGUGAGUGGAACACCGAGUGUAGAGGUGAAAUUCGUAGAUAUUCGGUAGAACACCAGUGGCGAAGGCGGGUCUCUGGACAGUUCCUGACGCUGAGGCACGAAGGUCAGGGGAGCAAACGGG
rnacentral:rRNA from 1 species